UGUAUUGGGUUUCCAACCUCCCCGUUCGUCUCAGCUGACAAGUAAGUACCAAGUAACAGUGAUUUGUGUGUACUGAACCAUCAACAUAUUAAACUGCAGACCCAUACCAAGACUGGUGAUAGAUAUGUAGAUUGACGCAUGCUGACUGGGGACUAUGGGUAGGGAAAACCAUUUUGCAGUAAUUAG